rnacentral:lncRNA from 1 species
GUGACACUCUGGGAAGCUGCUCAGUAAUGCCUGAAACUUAGUCAUGUUUCCAUUUUGUGACCAUCACUCUGGAUCUGGGUUUGUUUUGGAUCAGCUGUUUUCUUGGCCUUAAAAUAGGAUACCAAACUACCUUGAUUAAGGAAACCUGCUAAGGGACAUGAGGCCCCUUUGUUUACUGUCUCAUGAAAAUAUCUUCACGUUGGCAAGCCAUUAAAAGAAUAACAGAGUGGAAGGAAGACGCAAGACAGCUGAGAUAUCUGGACAGCAAGAGGCCAAUUUCAAAGGUUCCCAGCUCUUUGGCUCUGCAUCCCACUUGUGCCAGCUUUUUCUUUCAUUUUCCCUAA